CUAGGUGAUUCGUAACAAGGUAGCUUGUAGGUGAACCUGCUGCUGGAUCAUU
rnacentral:rRNA from 1 species